CGAACGGUAACGGGCCUUCACGGUGCCGACGAGUGGCGAACGGGUGAGUAAUGCAUCGGAACGUGCCCAGACGUGGGGGAUAACUGCUCGAAAGUUAAGCUAAUACCGCAUACGACCUGAGGGUGAAAUGGGGGACCGCAAGGCCUCGCGCGAUUGGAGCGGCCGAUGUCAGAUUAGCUAGUUGGUGGGGUAAAGGCCUACCAAGGCAACGAUCUGUAGUUGGUCUGAGAGGACGACCAGCCACACUGGGACUGAGACACGGCCCAGACUCCUACGGGAGGCAGCAGUGGGGAAUUUUGGACAAUGGGGGCAACCCUGAUCCAGCAAUGCCGCGUGCAGGAAGAAGGCCUUCGGGUUGUAAACUGCUUUUGUCAGGGAAGAAAUCCUUGGGGCUAAUACCUCGGGGGGAUGACGGUACCUGAAGAAUAAGCACCGGCUAACUACGUGCCACAGCCGCGGUAAUACGUAUGGUGCGAGCGUUAAUCGGAAUUA
rnacentral:rRNA from 1 species